GCUGAGGCAGGAGGAUCACGACUGGGUUAUAUAAUAUGACCUGUCUCCAAAACAACAACAAAAACAAGCAGGUACCAGGGAAAAGGAAGAAUUGGAAGUCUUUGGAGGAGAGCAUAUAGCAAAUUCAAAGGCCCUAUCAGGAGACAAACCAUGAAACCAGUUCCAGAAGCAGCGGUGGAGAUAGCCGCAGCUGAGUCUGAGAAGAGCCAUAGCAACAGUGCAACAGUGGCGACCAGUAUCAACAUUCUGGAUAUGUUGCUCAUCAGAGCAGAAUUUUAUAUACAUUGUGGCUGCUUGGAUGAUAUAUUUCAAGUUGGACAUAGACUGCCCACUAAGUCACUCCAAGGGACGCCUGGAUUGAUGGCUGGAGCUGUGCAGUGCCACCAUAGCAGAAGGGGACAUACCAGCCUGGAGCAGGCACCAAGGGAAGCUGAGACCUGUGGAGGAGGAUUUCCCUUGCUCUUGCCUGCUUAGGAGAAGCAGAAGCUGGGGCUGUGGGGUGUUGGACUUGUUUCUCCUUCUCAUGCCUGGAAGCUUCCUUAUGGAGCCCAGCAUCCUCCUCCCAGAGGCCUUAGACCUGAUGUUAUCAAAUGUCCAUCCCCAAAACUCCCUUCCUCCCAUCUCUAGGAACAGUCGCUGGCCUACAGCCCAACCAAUGAGCUUAAAUCGAUCUCUGUGAUGAGCCCCAAUUACUGGUCUCGGGACCCUGCCUCAGCAUGGUAGGACUGGUUAUUUCUCAUUAUAUAGGAACUUGGCAGGGAAGAUGGGGGGUAACCUUCUCCAGAGAAUUCACCUUCAGCAGGCCCUGAGUUUUCUUUUCAAAGCUUUGUGUCAGAAACUAUCUACAUUGCUUUCAUUUCUUCCCCUCCCACCUGCUCAACAGCCCACUCCAACCCAGCUCCCUGCUGUGUCACUGACUCUAGCCAGUUCCCUCCUGAGUUCCAGUCCUGUGUCCAACCGCCUACCUUCUCCCAAUGUCUUUCCCUUAAGUAUCUUAAAGUUAACAUGCCCAAGGCCAAAUGCACAACUGUCUUUCCCGAAGCAGUUCUUCUUGUGCUAAGCCAGUAGCACGGUGGUCAUCUCUCCAGGUGGGCAAGAGAGAGGCUCAAGGGCUAGGUCUCCUUUCCUCAGCCCAGCCACAGGAAGGAGCAGAGAGAUCUGCAUGCACACAGACCACCUUUCGCCUCAGUGGUGGGCCCCACAAAGUAUCCUUCCUGUGGACUGCUUCCUUGUUAGUCUCUCUGCAGCUACCCUCACUCUUUAGUGCCCCCACUUAUUUCUCAGCCAUCCAAAGAAACCCUGUGAAUGCCAAAAUGUCUUCAUGCAGGGCCUCUGCUCAAACCCCCCUUGGCUUCUCACUAACGACCCAAACCCUCAGUGGAGUUGCUCUUGCCUCACACACUGUGUAUGUAUCUUCGGGGAUUAAGGGGUUAAUAGUCUUAGCGAAGCAGGUGGCCUUAAGUGAGCUAAAUGAGGGAUAUGGAGACACUGGAGAUUGGCUUCAGAACAUCCUAACAUGGCGCCCAUGAAGUAGAGAGUGUAGGCAUGAGGAAGCCCAGAGAAAAGGGAGUCCUGAGGCAGAAGUCAGCAGUGACUGCCACAGGUCUUCCCUCAGGCCACCUAAUUCCCUUUUAAUUGGUACCUAAUGAAAGAAAAUUAAACCCAAUUGAGUUUUAAUGUGUGCAUUCAAACACCAGUCCCAAUUUGAUUUCUUUCUUUUAGGUUAUGGGGGUUCUAAGAGAAAGAAGAUAGGACAAGGGUGGGCUGGGAGAAAGAGUACCCUUUCCUGCGCCCAAGGAAAUCAUACACCAGCCUUUCCCUCAGAUGUCUUCAGGACUUUUUCCUACUUUCUCACACCACCUCUGUCCCUACCAUGAUCCCCAAGACACCAUAUGCCAUGAGAAACUUGGGACCUCCUUUACACUGGCACUGUGUUAGGGACGUAACCUAUACCACCUCCAGGGACCCUCCCUGGUCCCAGUGGGACCCGUCACAGUAAGGUUCCUCCUUCUCAAAGGAUACUGUGUAGACUUGCCAAAAGAUGCUGCCUCUGUUCUACCUAAGCCAGGCUGGGCCACACAAGCACCAGCCAUGGACACUGAGAUGUAUAACAUGGCACUGAGCUGUGCAAUGCAUGCACAUGAGAAUUCAA